rnacentral:rRNA from 1 species
UGGGGAAUAUUGCGCAAUGGGGAAAGCCCUGACGCAGCCAUGCCGCGUGAGUGAAGAAGGUCUUCGGAUCGUAAAGCUCUUUCAACGGUGAAGAUGAUGACGGUAGCCGUAGAAGAAGCCCCGGCUAACUCCGUGCCAGCAGCCGCGGUAAGACGGAGGGGGCUAGCGUUGUUCGGAAUUACUGGGCGUAAAGGGCGUGUAGGCGGAUCGGUCAGUCAGUGGUGAAAGCCCGGCGUCACCAUGGGAAUUGCCUCUGAUACUGCCGAUCUAGAGUCCGGGAGAGGGUAGUGGAAUUCCCAGUGUAGAGGUGAAAUUCGCAGAUAUCAGGAGGAACACCAGUGGCGAAGGCGCCGCUCUGGGCCGUAACUGACGCUGAGGAGCGAAAGCAUGGGUAGCAAACAGGAUUAGAUACCCUGGUAGUCCACACCGUAAACGAUGAAUGCCAGUCGUCGGGUAGCAUGCUAUUCGGUGACACACCUAACGGAUUAAGCAUUCCGCCUGGGAGUACGGUCGC